rnacentral:lncRNA from 1 species
CAUCUUCACCCCUUUCUCCUUGCCAUCACGUUGGACGUGACACCUGAAGCAGUUACCAUGAAACAACAAGCAAAAUCUAAAAGCCAGCGUGCUUGGGAUGGGACCAGAAAAGGUGGAACUAACCCGUGUCUUUGAUGCAUUCCAGAGCAGGUGCUAUGGCCCCCAAACCUACCCAGGAGGAAAAAAGGAGCUACAGAUCUGCUCAAGAAAAUUUAGUAGUACAGCUCCCAGACUGCAAUAGCAAGCAAUCCAAACAGACAGUGGAGAAUUUAGCACCAUGGGCCCAAAAGCCCAGAGCCUGGAAGCUGUCUGUGAGUUUCUCUUCUCUUGGGUGCUGAAAGUAGGUGCGGCGAGCCUUGAAAAAGCUACAACACAUUAGAGACACAAAAUCUCGAAGGAAAAACAAGUCCAAUUACCUUCUUUUACAAGGAAC